AGAGGCCGGGCGCGGUGGCUCAAGCCUGUAAUCCCAGCACUUUGGGAGGCUGAGGCGGACAGAUUGCUAAAGCCUAGGCAUUUGAGACAGCCUAGGCA